AUGUGUGAAGAGAUGGAGAAGGAAUCAUCUUUGGACCAACAACAAGCUUGCACUACUGCAGAAGUUGAAGGAUUUGUUAGGACCAUCCGAAGCUCUAGCGAUGAUCAGGCCAAAUAUGCGCCCCUUCCUGCUGUUCCCUGCCAAAGUUGCAUGAAAAAAAAAUAGGAGUCAACAUGAAAAGAAAGGAACAGAGUAAGUAAGGUGAUCAACAUUUUUAAUUAUUUUUACAUACCUUUUGGUUUCCAGUUGUACUUAAUUUAUGUUUUAAUUUGAUCUACUUAUUUUAAAUAAGAAUAUAAAUGAAAAAAUGUAAAAAAAUGAAAAAGUAUGUGGUCACUAACUGGUUGUCCUCUGAAUUUUCAUGGAUAGUACUUUGAAAAGUUCUGCAUCAUAAAAACAUAAUCAAGAAGCAGUAAGGAAAAUGUGUUUAUUUACUGAGCUAACUGCAAGGGCUGACAUGCUAAAUUUGGGCUUUUAAAAUGCCCACUUACCUUCACUUUAAAGUUGAUGCGAAGAGUACAGUUCUAGAGUAAUUAGACAUUGUAAAUUUGAAGAAAAUUCCUCCCUCCAAUGAGUAUUUUCCUGUUUGAAGAAGAAGGAACAGCGCAUGUUGUGUGACAGGAUGAAACAGUAUGGACAGUAUGAUUCUACAUUAUGUGUGAUUGAUAUGUUGAAGGAAAAGCUCUCGCUUAAAAUUUAUGAAAAGAAUAGGUCAGUUUAACUUGAAAUAUUCAGUUAUAACUAUCAAAAUUCAGAAAUUUUUACAAUUCAUUUUGUGUGUGACUCUGGUAAAUAUUGAUUAUUUUUUUGAUUUUUUAGGCCAGUGACGAUGCAAUUUUUCUAAAAAUCACUACUUGCUCCUUGAAUUCUUGGAAUUUGUUAUUCUUGCACGGAGCGAAGAAUGCCUCAUAGUGUGGAAUAUUUUGGAAGACCAUGUGCAAAGAAGGUACAGAUUAUACUUAUUUUUUGGCAUGCUGAAAUAGAUAAGAACAUUUGUGAGAGGCUUCACGGGGAAAAAAAGGUUAAAAAAGUUUUGAUUGGUACGUUUUUUUGUUUUUUUUUCUAAAAAAAAAAAAAAAAAAAAAAAAUGAAUAAAAAUUGUUUUUAAUUUUAUGGCACUUUCUUGGUUUACAGAACAAUUUCAGUUCACUCACCCAAAUGUUUUGAGCCAAGGAGUGUGCUUUUGAAUUAAUACAAUUUUUCUUUCAAAUUCAAAAACUUUUUUAACAUUUUUAUCAGUAUAUAUUAGAUGCUGCAAUUGAUCCUUAAUUUUAAAUGAGGCUCUGAACCUGGGUUUACCUCUGUGGUCAGGUUACCUGCUGUCUAAUAUACCUACUGUGAGGACUUUCACCCAGUGGAUAGGAGCCAACCUAACUGCUAGGUCCUCUCACCUAUCCGCGAGGUCCUCUUACCUAUCCGCGAGGUCUCUCCACCUAUCCGCGAGGCAAGGUCCUAACCGCGAGGGGUCUCCACCUAUCCGCGAGGUCCAUGCCUAACCAACUCCCUAACCGCGAGCUCAUGGCAAGGUCAUCACCUAACCGCGAGGCAUUUCCUAACCGCGAGGCCCAAAAUAUGCUGCGAGCUGUCUGCGAGCUCGCUGCGAGGUAAUAUUUCCUCUAGGGCAGCAUCAGCUUCGUCGGCUUGUGAAUCUGGCUAAUAUAAUAUAAAGUCGCUUUAUAACGCACUCUGGCGUCCU
rnacentral:lncRNA from 1 species